GGAGAAAGGGAGUGGUGGUGGUGGUGGUAUUAGUCAGUCUUGGGCCUCGGCGUCUCUCUCACUCAGUUCAGUCAGUCUCCCCGCGGCCUCAGUGGUAGUAGGCCUUUUUUAAACCCAGCCAACCAACCAAUCCCCUGCCAGUGUUGCUGAAAUGAUAAUGGUGAAACAGAACCCGCCAAUCACUUACUGGCGCUGAAAAGAAACUGACCAAUCACGUGCUGGUAUAGAGAAGAAACUAACCAAUCACGUGCUGGUAUAGAGAACAAACUAACCAAUCACGUGCUGGUAUAGAGAACAAACUAACCAAUCACGUGCUGGUAUAGAGAAGAAACUGACCAAUCACGUGCUGGUAUAGAAAUGAAACUAACCAAUCACGUGCUGGAAUUAAAAAGGAACAAGAACUAACCAAUCAGUGACUGGAAACACUGGCCAAUCACGUGAUAUUGACUCGAGACGCUGCCCAAUCACGUGCUGCCACUGAAAGGAAACCCACCAAUAACGUUCUCCCACUGAAAAGAAAACGAACGCCACGACCACAGCCAGCCAAUCACGUCAAGCCUUUCUGAAAUAACCGACCAAUCACAGAGCAGCUUUGUACAAUUCAACAGAAAAUGGAGUAAACAGAAAAAGAGGAGAGAGAAAACGAAAGUGGGAAAAUAGAUGAAUAAGUUAAGGUAGAUUUAUGGGAAGGUAAAGGAAAAGAAGGAAAAAACUGUGAUUAGGAAAUAUAUAGUGAAAGAAUAAGGUGACAAAAAAAAGACAGAAAAAAAAUGAAAAAAGAAAACAAAAUAGAAAAGGGAAAUAAGUAAAUUAAAGCAAAAUAGACAAAAAAA